CCCCCCCCCCCCCCCCCCCCCCCCCCCCCCCCCCCCCCCCCCCCCCCCCCCCCCCCCCCCCCCCCCCCCCCCCCCCCCCCCCCCCCCAGCCCCGAGCGCCACCGGGGCGGGCCGGGCUCAGAGCCCGUCUGCCGGACACGCUCAGAUGAGUGGACUCAGAACUCGCCAGAGCAGCGGCCAGAGCAGCCCGGGGGCUUGGCUGACCAAGGGAAGAAGCUGGGCUCUGUCACCUUGAGGGUGUGCCCUCAGUAUGAAACGGGACUCUCCAAAGAGACCAGUGUCAAGCUGCACGUCACCGGCCAGACGCCCGCCAGGGAGGUGGUGAAGCUGGUGGUGCUGGAGAUGAACGGCGUCUCGCGGGACGUGCUGGGCUCGGCCGCCGUCCGCUACGGCGAGGAGCAGCUGCAGCACUUCGGGCUGGUGUUCGCUGCCGGCGGGAGCGAGCGCUGGCUCCCCGAUGACUGCUCGCCCCUGUCCCUGCACAGCAGCCAGCCCCAGGGCCGCUUCUACGUCCGCCUCAAGGAGACGUCCCCGCUGGUGCUCCAGUUCGCGCCAGCCACCACCGUAGACAUCGAGACUCAGUUUUUCUGACUGGAGAAGAGGAGGGUGGAGUCCAGAGACCUCAGAGCUCAGGAGGAAUCUCUGCAGGAAUGGAAUUUUUGAAA
rnacentral:lncRNA from 1 species